rnacentral:rRNA from 1 species
CUACGGGACGCAGCAGUGGGGAAUAUUGGACAAUGGGGGAAACCCUGAUCCAGCAAUGCCGCGUGUGUGAAGAAGGCCUGCGGGUUGUAAAGCACUUUCGGUUGGGAGGACUGCUUCUAGCACUAAUAUUGUUGGAAGUUGACGUUACCUUCAGAAGAAGCACCGGCUAACUCCGUGCCAGCAGCCGCGGUAAUACGGAGGGGUGCAAGCGUUAAUCGGAAUUACUGGGCGUAAAGCGCGCGUAGGCGGCUAGAUCAGUCGGGUGUGAAAGCCCCGGGCUUAACCUGGGAACUGCAUCCGAUACUGUCUAGCUUGAGUACAGGAGAGGAGAGUGGAAUUCCACAUGUAGCGGUGAAAUGCGUAGAUAUGUGGAGGAACACCAAUGGCGAAGGCAGCUCUCUGGCCUGAUACUGACGCUGAGGUGCGAAAGCGUGGGGAGCAAACAGGAUUAGAUACCCCCGUAGUC